rnacentral:rRNA from 1 species
GUCCCAUUCCGAACCCGGAAGUUAAGCCCCCGAGCGCCGAUGGUACUGCGGAGUAGUCCGUGGGAGAGCAGGACGUCGCUGACC